rnacentral:rRNA from 1 species
AUUGAACGCUGGCGGCAGGCCUAACACAUGCAAGUCGAGCGGUAGAGAGAAGCUUGCUUCUCUUGAGAGCGGCGGACGGGUGAGUAAUGCCUAGAAAUCUGCCUGAUAGUGGGGGAUAACGUCCGGAAACGGACGCUAAUACCGCAUACGUCCUACGGGAGAAAGUGGGGGCUCUUCGGACCUCACGCUAUCAGAUGAGCCUAGGUCGGAUUAGCUAGUUGGUGAGGUAAUGGCUCACCAAGGCGACGAUCCGUAACUGGUCUGAGAGGAUGAUCAGUCACACUGGAACUGAGACACGGUCCAGACUCCUACGGGAGGCAGCAGUGGGGAAUAUUGGACAAUGGGCGAAAGCCUGAUCCAGCCAUGCCGCGUGUGUGAAGAAGGUCUUCGGAUUGUAAAGCACUUUAAGUUGGGAGGAAGGGUCGUUACCUAAUACGUGGCGAUUUUGACGUUACCGACAGAAUAAGCACCGGCUAACUCUGUGCCAGCCGCCGCAGUAAAAC